GCGCGGCCUCCGCCGAGUCCGGCGUGCCGCCCGUGGCAGCUGGAGCCGGGGACCCAACCGACCUCGGGGUGAAUCGGCUCAGCCGCCUUGAAGGGCUUCAACCGCCUUGAAGGGCAACGACCGUAGGGCAAACCUUCCGAAGCACGCGCCCGAACCCGACAGCUAACUCGGUAGGCGGAACACGGAAGGAGA
rnacentral:sRNA from 22 species